UUUCCUUUGGAAUUCACCUCCAAAUAUCUAUUCAAAAAUGACUCAAUAAUUUCAAAUAUUGCUAAAGAAAUCAAUUAUAUUGCAUAAAUUAAAUUUCCCAAAUUUUCCUCCAAAAAGUCAAAAAAAUCGACCCCGGGCCCGUCUGGUUAAAACUCGAGGUUCGGACCAAAAUUCAUUUACCCAUUCACCCCCGAGCCCGAAUGUAUGAUUGGUUUUGGAAUCCGACCUCAAAUUAAGGUUUAAAUCCCCAAAUUUUCGAAAUUUCUAGUUUCCACCCUAACCCCUAAUUCUACCAUGAAAACUCUAGAUUUUAGGUUGAUAAUUCAAGAAAUGUAAUGGGCAAUAGAAAGAAAAUAGUUUAGAAUCACUUACCAACACUUUGGAAAAGCAAAUGUCUCUUGAAAAUCGUCUAUACCCGUUUGGUUCUUGAAAAAUGUUGAAGAAAUGGCUCAAACCCGUGUUUGAUUCUGUUUUAUGCGCUGGGCGACAGUGUGCAUCGCGUUUGCGAGGCCACUGUCGCGUUCACGAAGGGUACUGGCUGCCAAGCCUUCGCGUUCGCGAGACCCUUCUCGCGUUCGUGAUGGUUACUCCCCCUGGCCUUCGCGUUCGCGAGCCAUUGCUCGCGUUCGUGAUGAAGGAACGACCAACCCUCCCCAGGUCCCCAAGUGCUUCGCGUUCGCGAAGGGUAAAUCCCCCAUCACUUUGCGUUCGCGAAGAAGAAGUCUCAACAUUACCAGUUUACUCCUCGCGUUCGCGAGAGGACCUUCACGAACGCGAGGAAGGAUAUGCCAGACACUAAAAUCUGCAGAAAACCAGAUAUUUUCCAAUUUCAAAAUAUCUCGUGGCCUAUCCGAAACUCACCCGAGCCCUCGGGGCUCCAAACCAAACAUGCACACAAGUCUAAAAAUAUCAUACGGACCUGCUCGCGCGAUCAAAUUGCCAAAAUAACACCUAGAACUCCGAAUUUAGCACCAAAUCCAAUGAAAUUCUCAAGAACACUUUAAAAUUUCUAUCUUCUCAACUGGAUGUCCGAAUCACGCCAAAUCAACUCCGUUUCUCACCAAAUUUCACAGACGAGUCUUAAAUAUCAUAAUGAACCUGUACUAGGUUUCGGAACCAGAAUACGGACCCGGCACUAACAAUGCCAAACAUCAAUCAAUUCUUAAAAAUAAUUAAUUUUCAGACUUUUAAUUUUCAUCAACAAUUCAUAACUUGAGCUAGAGACCUCCGAAUUCGAUUUCGGGCAUACGCCCAAGUCCCAUAAUUCGAUAUGGACCCACCUGGACCGUCAAAAUAAGGAUCCGGAUCCAUUUACCAAAAUUGUUGACCGGAGUCAUCUAAAAUCAACUUUUUAAGGCAUAAAUUCUUAUUUUUAACAUAAAAACUUUUCAGAAUUCUGCCCGAAUUACGCACACAAAUCAAGAAAGGUAAAAAUAAGAUUUUUAAGACUUAAGAGUGCAAAUUCAUGUUCUAAAACAUAAUAUGACCCUUUGGGUUAUCAUAACUUUUAUCCUCGAAAAUAUAACUCGGGCAGCAGAGGAGAAGAAAAUCACACAAAACUUCUAAAAAUUAUACGGAAAUCAAAGAAAUCACAAAUUUUUGGCGAAAUCAGAAACCUCCGACGAAGAUGAAAAACUCAACGAAAUCAAACGAGGGUAACAUCACUAGAUAGAGAAUGACGAGAAUCAUCAGAUUCCUCGCUCUGAUACCAUGUUAGCAUACAGAAUUGAAAGAGAAAUUGGCAAAUUACAUUUGGGGCUUGAAGGAACAGGAAAAACUAGAAGAUAUUCCGAGAUAUUUCUUAUUGAAAAGGAAAAACUACAAAAUUGAACAGGAAGAUAUUUCUUAUUCUGUAAUUGAUAAAAAUGCCAAAAGUCUCUAGAAUAUUCCGUCUCUAUCCCUAUAUAUACAUUGGGCCUCUUUUUCCCAAAUCAGAUAACUAAGCUACUCAUAAAUAAACUGGGCUAGGCCCAAUACAAAACAAAUUAACACCAGCAGCCCUUAUUCCUUCAUGUAAUCCAAACACAAAACAAAACAUAAUUUGAAGGAGAAAAAUAAUAAGAGAUUUUCAAAUAUUAAGGAAAAAAAUAUUUGGGUAAAAGAGAUAAUGUUAAAAAAAUCGAUUAUUAUAAACAAAAUGUUGUUAGUUUCUGUUGUGGUUCCAAGUGAAAAACAACGAUAGGACCGGUUUUGUUUUCCUAAAAUAUUUUUAGUUUGAUAUCCAAAAACUAACUCAUUUGAAAUGCAAGUAAUGGAGUCACUUUUUUAAAUAAAAAAAAAACAAAUCCAAAAUUAUUUUUUUCGGUUUGGUUUUUUAUUUUUAGAAAUCACAUUUUGUUUACUUUAUCCAAUUAUAUUUACACAAUUGUUAGCCCAUUAUUUUGUUUAGCAAAUGUUAAUAUUUGAGAACCAGACAACAAUUUUUGGAAUAAACAUGCAGAUCGACCAAAUUAAUAAUCCUGAAACAUUGAUCAACUUAUAUACAUUUCAAAAUUUUAAUUAAGUUGAUUCGCAAAAGAGUUCAUAAAGAGAAGACACAAACUAUCUUUAGGUUGAAAAGUUGAAUUAGAUAAAGGACUUGUCUGUCCUAGAAACUUGAAUUAAAAUUGGAGAUACUUUUAUUUGGAUCAAAAUAAUCAGGUGUCAUGCGGAAGUUAGUAAAGCAAUAUGAACAAUGAUAAAUCAGACAACAAAAGGAAAUAUACCAAAAGAGACACAAACAUUUAACGUGGUUCGGUCAAUUGACCUACGUCCACAACGGAGAUGAGCAAUCCACUAUAUAAAAGAGAGUACAAAAUAUCGAGAGAACAACCUCACGAACAGGCAAAUUCAAGUGACACACUAACACUUGUCCCGUAAAGUUCUCCCCUCUAAACACGACUCUCAAAUCCCAUAUGGCUACAUUGUGGAUGAUGCUGAAUGAGAAGCAAGGAUCCUCUAUUUAUAGAAGUCCAAAUCUUUUCCUAUAAGAAAAAGGACUAGCCAAAAUAUGGGAGAUUCAUAAUUUUUUUUCAAGCAAAGAAAAACUCAAUUAUGGUAAAUAUAUUGUCCUUUCCUUCAACAGAUAGGAAAACCAAAUAUGGUAAGAAAAUCAGGACAAAUGUCUAACAAAUUUAACGUGCCCAAAAUAAAUAUCAAGGGAGUUUUAGCUCUAGUUUGUCAACUCUUACUUGCGUAUGGGUAAAAUUAUAGGCAAUGUCUACCCCGAUUUUCCGAUGAGAAAAUGGAGGGAGAGCACGAAUCCACGAGAUUGUAAUCGAGGUUAGAGACCCUUCGUAUCGAGACCCAAGAAGAGUAAACGAUGUGUCCGCCAUCGGAUUGGUAAAGUGACGCGCCCUGGGCCAAGUAUAAGUUCUAAGACCUCGGGAGAUACGGUGAACAGUUGUGCAUAACGGAUAGAGAUCCGUGAAACUCGCCCUCAACCAAAUAUCACGGCGCGUAUCUUGCUCGAUAUCGAUUAUGGAUCAGUAAUUACUGAAAAAGAUGAUUUUUACUUUUUUUAGACUUUUACUAGGACUAAAAUUCCCCUACUAAAUAAAGGGAGAAUUUUUUUUUAGUCUGACACAUUGUAACAUGCAAUUCCAAGCAAUAAAAAUUUAUUUUUACUUUCUAGAUAUUGUCAAGAACUCUGCUCACUUGUACUGUUCUUCAUUCAUGAUUGGGCUCGAACCGAGGGUCCAUUUGAAGGACGAGGUAGCUGUUCAAUUUAAGAUCAAGCUUGGUCAUAACAUUGCGAUUGGUUUGAUCGUUUAUGUCCUCUUUAAUUUAUUUAUCUACUAUUCUUAAUUAUUCGUGUUGAAUUAAAUCAUGUAUCAUUUAAACCACAAACAAAUUUAAUUGUCAAGUAAUUUUGGGGUAAAUAAUUUGGCGCCCACCAUAGGGAUAAGGAUAAUAGUUGUGAUUUGAUAUGAAUCUCCAUAACACACCCUAACAUACUCUCAAUCUUAUCACUUGAACGUUGACGCUGAGUCUGUCCAUCACAACAAAAAUAAUAAUUUGGUGCCCAGCAAUGAUGUGCUUCCUGCCGAUCCCAGCAUUGUCCCAGCUACCGACCCGGUCGAUGUUAACUCACAGGUGGUCAUCAACAUCAAUUUGCCAAUUGAUCCUGAAAAUAGUGUUCGUGGGGGACCCCGACCAACAACUCGAGAAGCACCCGAAGGCAAGGUGAUUGGGUAAGCCUACGACUGAUUUUCGAAAUGCGGCAAGCUCAAUAAGUGAAAAUAGCAUAGAUGCAUAAUCAAAGCUACGUCCCCAAUAGGGUCGAGCUCAAACAAUCCGGGGAAAGCACCAGAAGAGACGAAAAUAUUACCGAGAGACCGGGUGAAGCCAAACCGUCUGAAUCCUCAGAGUCUUCGGGACUCUCAAGCUCAUAGAGUUCCUUCGCCUCGGCCUUAAGUCUCUUGGCUUCUUCAAUCUCGGCCGACAAGUCAAAACCUCGGGCAUGAACCUCCUCGAAGGUCUCUCUUCAGGAUAGCCGUUUUACGUACUCAAUAUUCGUCUUUAAGCGGGCCUCGGCUCUCUUCACAUAGGUCGUAUACUGGGCCAGCAUUUCCUCAAUUUUGGAGGAAUCAAUAGAAGUUGCCUCCAGCCUGGACCUCAGCGCGGCAUAUUCCUGGCUGAGGGAAUCCGUUUCCCUAACAGCUGAGUUCAACUGUGCUUGGAGUUCAUCGUUUAGCCGAGACCACUUGUCGUCCUUGUCCUUUGCCACCCGGAGAUGGUCCUUGACCGAUGCCAGCUCCACUUUUGCAGCCUUUUUUUCUGAAACCCAUAGGUCCAUCCUGCCCUUCCACACCUCGGUCGUGGCCUUGACCUCGUCCAUCUCAGCCCGAAGCUGGUCGAUCAGGUCUACCUUCUCUUGGACCUGCGAAGUUACGUUGUUAGUCACCACGAGUAGCUUCUCAUUUUUAGCCUCAAAGAUCCUUACCUUCUCAGCCAGGUCGGCGUUCUCCCGAUUGAUGGAUAAGGCUUGCUUUUGAGCCUUUUCCAGCUCGGCUCGGAGAAUUGGGAGGUCCUUGAGGGCCUCGUCUUGUUGCUCACUGAGAGCCCUGUACAUGUCCUUCUUUCAGACAUGCUCUUUGAGCUCGAACUUGAGCUGGCUAAUCUCCAAGCGGGAUCGAAGAAAGACUUCAUGGUAAAGCACUGAAGCUGGCUGAUCUCGGGGUAAGGAACAACUUCACUAGUUUCGAGCUCGAGCUCAGUUUGCUCACUUCCGAUGGCACAUCAUUUUUUGGGGCUUUCAGGUGACCAAGCUCGGAAAAGUCCUCUAACACGGCCAUGUCUAUGCCAUCGAAGAACGUGUUGAGGGCAUCAUUUGGGCUCGACACCGUCUCGUUUGAUUUCUCUUUACCUUCUUGAGCCUCUUUGAGCAUGGUCUCGGUAUAGGACGACAUCUCCGUUAUGUAAAUGACACCAGCUACCUAAUUCAGGACAUGAGCGGCUUCUCGGGUGGCGGCGACCUCCGUCUCUCCCUCUAGCUUCUGAGCUAGGGGGAUCGACCUUGUGGUCACCUUCCCCGACUGCCGUGUGCUCCCCCUCGUUGAGGGUCGACUAAUGAGCAAUAAACUCAAGGUCGUCGUCCUCAAGAUAAUCCGUGAGCCGGUAGAGGGAAUCAGAGUCCGGUACCUUGGACUUGGAGCUCUUUUUGCAUUUUUGGACCUGGGUGGUCACCCUCUUCUUCUUUAACUCGGCGUCCGGGGAGCCUUAAGACUUCUUCUUCUUUUUCUCCUCCUUUGUGGUAGCCCCAGGCGGUCCGGAAAUGGAAGGCUCGGCAAGUGAGGACGAGUCCUCGUCAACAGGCCUAAGCUUAGUGGUCUUAGGCAAACUUGUAGGAAGAAAGAAGACUUAGAGAUGUAUAAGUCAAGAAUAUGAAGGUACUAGUUGGGAAAAAGCCUUACCAUGGGAAUGGGCCUCCCCUUUCCCCUUCAAGAACUUGCGCCAAGCGCACUCGGAGUAUAGCAUCUAUUUGUAGAUCCCCUCGAUCCACUCCUUAAAUCGGGGGACUGCAUUGGGAACUUGGGAUACCGCUGCACAACGACAAACACAGGCAAUUAGAAAAAUAAGCUCAAGAAGGAAAAGACUUACGGGAGGCGUUCCACUUCUCCGGGAAAGGUAGAAAUUCGGAAGGGAUGAGGUCUUUGAUUUUCACCCAAACAAACCUCCCCUACCAACCUCGACCUCGAUCCUCGUCGAUGCUCGAGAACGGAGCCUUGCUUGCCCGGCAGACGAGCUUGAUCAACCCUUCAUGGAAGAUUCGGGGACUAUAUAGAUGAAGCAGAUGGUCGAGGGUGAACCGAGGUGCUUCGGUGUUGUUCAUGAAAUGUCGUAGGAGGAUUACAAUCCUCCAAAAUGACAGAUAAAUCUGCACAAGGCAGACCUCGUACGUUUUACAAAAGUCGAGGAGUACGGGGUCCAUCGGGGCGAUCGUGAAGGGGUAAGUGUAAACAUUUAAGUACCUCUUCACGUGAGUGGUGAUGUCGUCGUUGGGCAUGGGGACGACCACCUCCUUGCCCUUCCAGUUACAGUCUACCGGGACUGUGGUCAAUGUUUUCUCAGUAAAGGAGCAUAUGUACCUCCAUGCUCUCUCACAUCGGUCCUGUUGACUGGAGGCCUUCUCGAUAUUGAAAUCAUUCUCGAUAGAGCAGCCUCCAGGUACGAAGCUCCUUAAGGGAGGCUCCUGGGCCACCUCAGGAACGGUCACCUCGACGUCUAUGGACGGGUUGGAAGAUGAAGGAGCGACUUGUUGAGGCACAUACUUGAAAGUUUUUUCCAUCGGGAUAUGAAAAAUAUAAAGCUUUGAAGAAAUAAUAUAAAGGUUUGAAGGAAAGAUAUGAAGCUUUCAAGAUGUGAUGAGGAUAUGAAGGUCUGGGUUGAAGAUUCAAAGAAAAUGUAUGAAGGUUGAGGAUGAGGAUAUGAAGGCCAAAGGAGCAAUAUAUGAAGAUUUGAAGGAGUUAAAAGGCAAGUAGAGAAUUCGAGGGUAAGUCUAAGAGUUUUGGAAUCGAAAAGUAGAGAAGUAUAAAAGGGUAAGAGCUUUUAUAGAGGAAGGACAAUCAAUGCGUUACGUUUCACAUUCUAGGGCAGUCAACCAACGGCUGACAUGUGUCCGAAGUCAGAACGAUGCGACUGAUGGAACGUUUCGUUAACCCGUCAUAUCAGUUGUAACGUACGAAUGAAGGAAUCGGGGUCCAUCUAUCGCUUCCCGUCAUUUCGGUAAACCUACUCUCCGAAAAAUGAGGGGACUAUCUGUGUACGGGUAAAAUCGGUGGUAAUGUCUACCCCGAUUUCCCGAUGAGAAAACAGAGGGAGAGCACGGAUCUACGAGAUUAUAAUCGAGGUUAGAGGCCCUUUGUAUCUAGACCCAUGAAGAGUGAACGAUGUGUCCGUCAUCUGGUAUGGUAAAUCCAUGCGCCUCUGGCUAAGUAUAAGUUCGAAGACCUCGGGAGACAUGGUGAACGAUUGUGCAUGACCGAUAGAGGGCCGUGAUACUCGCCCUCAACCGGAUAUCACGGCGCGUAUCUCGCUCGAUGUCGAUUAAGGAUUAGUAAUUAUCGAAAAAAGAAGUGUUUUACCUUUUUUAGACUUUCACUAGGAUUGAAACUCUCCUACAUUUUAACACGCAAUUCCAGACAAUAAAAGUUUAUUUUUACUUUCUAGCUAUUGUCAAGAACUCUGCUCACAUGUAUUGUUCUUCAUUCACGACUGGGCUCGAACCGAAGGUCCAAUCGAAGACGAGGUCGCUGUUCAGUUUAAGAUCAGGCUUGACCAUAACAUUGCGAUUGGUUUAAUCAUUUAUUUUGUCUGUAAUUCAUUUAUCUGAUAUUCUUAAUUAUUCGUGUUGAAUUAAAUCACGUAUCUUUUAAACCACGUACAAAUUUAAUUUUUACCUAAUUUUAGGGUAAACACUAGUGACUAUAAACUACUACAAAAGACUUAUUUUCGUUCCUUCUUGGUAUAUACUAUAUGUUGUCACCUUUGGUAUCAAAAUUGGAUUUCAAGGUAAAGCAACGUGUUUCUCGACGGACACGAACAUGUUGCCUUUUUGGUUCAAUUCCAUUAUCAUUGCUCAAAAUUCGUGUUUUAUGGUGGUCUCGUCCUGAAUAAUGAUGGCUGCUCAGCAUUUUAGAUGGUAGUCGCGCUUCAUUGAUUUGAUAUACCUGUAUGGCAAAAUAGUUAAAAGAAAAUAGUUAUCCAUCUAUAUAAUUUAUUAAAAAAUAGGUUGAAUAAUAAACUUUUUAAAAAUGGGUCAAAUAUGAAUAAAAAUCAUAUUAUUCACUUAGAAAAUAGAUAACUAAUGAGUUUAACUUUUAUAUUUGUAAAGUCUCAAAUUGGGGACUCCUCAAGUUUGAGAUAUUAUGAAUUCUCCCAAAAGUGAUCAUAUUCAAGAAGUCAUGGAUAAUAUGGAUAUCCAUAUUAUUCAUCAGUUAAUCCGUAUUAAAUAUGAGUCGGAUCGGAUAAUUUAUCCGAUUUUUACAUUACCCAUUUUUGACCGGACCAUAUCCAACCCGACCCGCCUGUUUGUCACCCCUGCCUGCGCAUAUCAACAAGUAAACCAAGGUUAAUUUGAUUGGAAUACUAGUUUUGAUCCAAGUUGUAUUCGUUAAUUAAAUUAUUUUUGUUUAGCAUAUAGGAUACAAAAUUUAUUGCUUGCAGAUUUUCGUUAUUCACCUUUGGGGAGUUCUUUUUUCAAUUGUUCUACAUCUAUAUAUAUGAAAGGCAGGAAGGUCCAAUGUGAGAUUUUUUAUCGAGUGAGAAUCUACUUGCAAUAUUUAGCACCUUCAUAGAAAUUAGUUAUUUUAAAAAACUACAAUUUCAGUUAUGUUCGUUUUUUGUAGUUAAAAAUAUCUUAAAAUGUUUUGAAAGAUCAUAAUGAAAAAUAAAGAAAGGGAAAAAGAGGUUUGUAAUUUUUGUUCCAAUCCAUAUGUUUCGUUGUCUACUCCAUUUGAUCUCACCAAAUCUUUGGGCGAAUGUUUACCUGUAAAACGGUAAAGUUGAAUUUGUUCGUAAUUUUUAGACAAGUGAAUUAAUUUGAUCCAAAAAAUAAUGAAAUAACUGAUGAAAUAUAAAAUAUUUAGCCUUAAAAUGUAGAUGAAACGACAGAGCGGAUGAGUCCGAGAACAGGGUUUCCGGGCACAAUAAUAAUGAGAUCAAAAACAAGAAAGUAAAUAAUAUUAAGCUCUGUAUAGAGUGUAGUAUAACUUUGCUAGAAAAUUCGUGUCCUUUACAAUGAAAACUACGCUCUCUAUUUAUAGUUAUGUCUAGGGAAGGAGGUCCUAGGAUCAUGCCCUUCUUUAAUGUCAAUUAUGAGGGCCAGAUGAAGAUGUAACGGUAGACAUAAAUAUCAAAUUUCCUGUAACGGGUCAUCAUCCUUAAUGCUACAAAGCAUUUAAUACUCCUUUUAUGAUCGUUAUUCCUUCCGGUGACAAGCGGAAUAGCUAUGUUUGGCGGCUAUCUUCAUCUUGGGUUCCACGUGUCCUUCCUUUAAGUGGCCACGUAUCAUGUCGUAUUUUUUCCUAUGCAGAUAGUCCCCCUGCUUUCCGGUGACACAAUCUUGUGUUAUCGGAAAGUUGGUAGAAAUACUUCUUUUGGCGGGAAUUACUAUAACUCCCUCUGCAGUCUUCUGACGGUUAAUUUGACGCACGUCUCUCCGCACUUAAUGCUCUGAACACGUGUCAACCCAUAAUUUAGCAUAGCUUUUGCCGUUUAUCGAGGUAAUCAAGGCCAUGAAUUUAGCCGCCAAAACUUUACUUAUACGCAUCAUCCUCCUCUUAUGUACUUCAUAAUUUCUCAAUUUUCUAACUUGCAUCUUUAUUUCCCAACUUUUCUCUAAUCCUCUUCGAACCAGAAAUUUUCCUUCCUUCUAUUCCAAUGGCUUCCUCUUCAAAAUGUGCUAGUUCUUCAAAGGGCAAGAACAAAGCUGAGGACUCUGCGACGGUGGGUUCCAUCAUCCCAAGGAAGUUUAACACUACAAAGGAUUUUGAAAAAAAAUUUCCUACUACUAAUUCUCGUACAUGUGCUGUUAGUAGGUAUCUUUCUUCCAUCCGUCCUUCCAAUAUUCCAACUAUGAACGAAGAUUGCCGCUGUCAUGAAUUGGACAUCAUUGCUCCUAGCCUAUAGGAGCGAGUGACCCUUCUCACGGAAGGAUUUACAUAUUUUUAUACUUAUACCUUUACUUUGGGUGCGUUUUCUUUGAGCGGAUAGCUUGAUCCCGUGAUUGCGUAAUUUUGCCUUCGCUACCAAGUGUGUUUGGCACAGGUAAGCCCUUCAGUAUGGAGGAUGGUUUCCUGCCUUCGACGCCUGUGCCAGAAAACUGAGAAAAAGCUAUCAUUAGCUUGUAUAAUGAACCUUUAUUCCCCCAAGAUUUUUCGAGGAUGUAUGAUAAACCUCUACAAACAUGACUACCAUGCUCUGUUGACUAGCAUGGAUGAUGACAACGACCAUGGGUAGAUAGAAUGGUUCAUUGCAACUGCCACCAAUAAUAUUAUUCCGUCAGCGGCAUCAUCCUCUCCAAGUGCUUGGAAUCGUACUCGUAAGAUUUCCUUUAAAUAUAUUUUCUCUUAAUAAAAAUUCUUUCAUGCAUGUAUUGAUCCUUCAACCUUCUAUGUUACAGCAACUCAAUAGAUCCCACCGGUGGGUUCAAAAGAUCUUGGACGUUACGACGUCCGAGACUCGCUUAUGGAAAAAACUGGCCCUUAAGUACGAGUUGAGGGCUAAAAGUCAUGGUAACUUUAAUUUACCUUAUUUUUGUUUUAUAUGUGAAGAAGUUGGUUGAACCCUCCUAACUUUGUUCAUGACAUUAGGUCUACUUGUGGGCUCAGUUGAUGUCCCGGGGGAGGAUUCUUUGGCUGACCCUGCUGAUGCGGCGGGGCUGCUUUAGGAGAAACUUACUCGAACAUGCAUCUCCCAGACUGCUUCGGGCACAAACGUUUCUUCACGGAGUCACCGGCCAGAGAACAAGCAACCAAAGAGAAGACGUUCCUCUAUGGCCGAGGAAAAGAAUAAGAGGGCAAAGACUGGUACCCACAAAUUAUCUCCGGUGGCGAAUGUGACUGGUUCCCCUUCCGGGCUGGUCAUAGACACUGUGAUGAUUGAUGACAAUGAAGAAGCUAGUGAUGAGAGAGCUUCUCUACACAGAAGGCGACGAUCCUCAUCGUCUCAACAAGAUGCUCGACCUGUUGAGGCAGUUUCACCAAUCGAGGACGAUUUCUCGGCAUUGUGGGGAGAGUUUGACUUGGUAGAUAAUGCCAAUUACUGUUUUCGAGCCCCAGUUGUUGUGUCCGGUACUACAGGGCUGAGUAUCGGAUCCCUGCCAUCUUUGGUUGGAGAGUAUCCUCCCACCAGCACUGCAUUUGAUGCUGCUGCUUCUCAUCCUUCGGCUCCAUCGGCUUCAUCUCCGUCUUCACCAUCACCAGCAAGUGCUACAUCAUUUCCAUCUUCAUCCAUUCCUCCACUAGCAAUUGCUACAUCAUCUCCACCGGCCUCAUCCAACCACGGAGAGGGUACUCCUCUUCCCCAAUCCCAGUUCAUGGGAAUUUGGGGCAAAAUUAUGCUGCCCCUUCUGAGGAUCCACAGAGGAGGAUGAGUGUUACCCUUUCGGUCUCCACCGGGUACAACCUGCUCUCGAGGUCGGUGGAGCUUGCUAACUAUCCGAAGCCAUUGGCUUCAGAGAAAGACUAGGAAAAUAUCCAAGCACUUUUGGGAGAGUGUUUGUUGAACAAUGCCAUGCAUAAUACCGCAGUGGUGCGCCCCUUUCAACCUUUGCUAUUUCUUUGACUUUUGCAUGAAUUUGUACUAAAUUUUAUUUAUCUUAUUUUUUAGGCCAACUUUCUUGCUUCCGAGGGCCUACAGAGGUUGAUUCGUGAGAAAGAGGAACUUACUUCUAAACAGAAUCAGCCUUUGGAGAAACGUGACCAAACUAUUCUCCGCCUCUUGGAACUGGAAACCAAAGCUACUGAGGCAGUUAUUUUGGAGGCUCGCUUGCAGCAAAGAGAGCAAGAAGUGAUAACCCUUAGCUAAGAGAUUGGCCCGCUGACGGUUAGAUUUGAUGAAGACAAGUCCAAAUGGGCUGAAGUCCAGAACGCCAUUCUUGCUGCAACCGAGCGCGAGGCUGCCAUUGCCGAAAAAGUGUCUGAAUUAGAAGUAGCCUUGAACUCCAAAAUAUAAGAUCUUGAUACUAUGGAGGCAAAGCAUGCCAGUUGGAAGAGAGGUACAGAAAAACUAUCGAGCAUAAUAGGCUCUUUAGUUCAACUGUCCUCGACCUUGAUGUUAGCCUCCAAUCUGUUAGGUCCGCCCGGGAUAGGCUCUCUGAUGAAGAAACCCAACUCAAAGAGAAAGUCAAGCGUCGAGAGGCUUCCCUCAUUUUUUGAAAAAACUUAUGCCAUGUAUAGCAUGACAAAACCUUGGAAGAGGCCAAAUCAGGCAUCAUUGACUUUGAUGCCGAAAUUGCUAGGGCCCGAGAGCUUGAGUUGGCUACUAAAAAUGGACUCCCAAUGCAGUCUGAUGCUUCUGGUUCCGGUUCCGAGUUUUCAGGGACUGGAGAGGAGUCGGAAGAUGAUGAUGCUGAAGACCAAACCAGGAAAAUUGUUGAGCCAUCGGUGAGCCCACCUGCUUCUCCCGGGGAUGCGGACGCUUCUCUUCCUACUGGUUCCGGAGAUGCUGCAAUUUAGCUUUUUUUUUCUUUUUUCUUAUCUUGUACUUUUUGCACGCAUUUGUAAAUAAAAAUUUUCUUCUGCUUAAUUAUUUUUUGAGUCUUACUUUCAUCUUAUUUUCGUUAUGCUUCUGUUUGAACAUCCAUGCAAAUAUUCAACUUUUGUGUUUGCGUAAGAAUUUUGUGCUCGUUUUCAUUUUGCGCUUUGCUAUGUGUAGUCUCGGAUGCAAAGCAUUAUCCCUUUUACAUGAGGGUUUUUAUAAGUAUUUUCACAAAUUUACCUUUUGCGUCCUUUCUUAUACGUCCUUCGGGUGCAUUUUCCCCAAAAGCGCUUUGAUUUCAUGCACAGACUCUUUCUAAACCAACCCUUUAACAUGAGAGAUUUCAUAAGAUAGGGCUCUCUUAUGUUUACGGUGCUCUUGAAGAGGACGUCUCAUGUUUAUUAUGGUACUAACAUUUGAAGUACUUGUUUAACUUUUAAAUAGCAAAAUUAAUUCAUCGUUCAGACAAGAAACAAGAUAAAAACAAAAGGAUUUUAUGUCUUUUAAUUCCUUCUAUUUUCAAAAGUACAUAAGCAUUUGAUAUGCUGAAAAAAAAUUGCCAUUACUUGUGGCUAUCUUGUACAACUUAUUUCUACGGGGUUGAUUGUGCAGUCUCCGAUCCCGAUGAUGUAUUCUGGUUUUGGAUAUUCGUUCCCCGGUUGACGUGGCAUUCAGUGUUGCCGUAUCCUCAUAUCAUUCCUCCCCCUAGUGUUCGAAUGCAAAGAAUGUGAAUUGGAACACUGGAAGUCUUGCGUCUUCAAAGAUCCCACCAAUGAAUUGCUAGACAAACCUUAACUCGGCAACAAACCUUACUUCCCCUUAGGAAUUCAUGCUAUCGAGUGAAGGAUUAUCUAACAAUCCUCUAGUGGUUUGUUCUCAUGAACGGUCGGGUAACCUUUGUCCUAUAGCAAACUUAACUUCCCAGUGGGAAUUUGCUAUAGAGCCAAAGAUUACCUAACCGUCCCCAAGUGAAGCCUUGCCAUCGAAGAUCUUAUUAUUGUUGUCUUCGCAAUAUGCUUUCUAUCGCUGCCUCAUUAAAAACCUUGCCAAAAAACCCAAUUAGGACAAAAAUUUAACGAAGGAAAAAAGAGUGCAGCAUAUACUUUUCGCUUGGGUAACGUUCAUCAACAGUAAUAUCUUUUGAGGUGUGGCACGUUCCAGUUGCUAGGUAACUUAUCUCCGUUCUGGUUCUCCAACUCGUACGAGCCUUUUCGAGUGAUAGCUGAAAUCCGAUAGGGACCUUCCCACGUUGGGACCAACUUCCCGCAUUAAACUCCCGGGUAUUUUGAGUUAGUUUCCUCAGAACUAAAUCUCCCCCUUUGAAAUAAUGGAAAUUAGCUCUUUGAUUAUAGUAUCACUCCAUUCUCUGCUUUUGAGCCUCCAUUCUUACAUGCGCCAAGUCCCUGCGUUCCUCGAGCAGUUCCAAGUUGAUUAACAUUACUUCGUUGUUAGAUUCUUCUUCCGCCUGGAAAUACCUUAAGGUUGGUUCCUCUACUUCCACCGGUAUCAAAGCUUCUACGCCGUACAGAAGGGAAAAAGGGGUUUCUCCUGUUCUUGACUUGGCCGUUGUUCGGUAGGCCCAUAGAAUCCUAGGUAAUUCUUCGGGCCAAUUGCCUUUUGCUGCUUCCAACCUUUUCUUGAGAUUUUGAAUAAUCACUUUGUUUGUUGACCAUGUUUGACCAUUUGCGCUCAGAUGAUAGGGUGAAGAGGUGAUCCUCUUUAUCUUCAAAUCUUCAAGGAACUUUGUAGCUUUUGCACGAAAUGCGGCCCAUUGUCGCAUACAAUCUCUUUUGGUAUUCCAAACCUGCAAAUUAUAUUUUCCCACAAGAAGUUGAUCACCUCGCGUUCUCCGAUCUUCUAAUAAGGACCUGUUUCCACCCAUUUAGAAAAAUAGUCAGUCAAAAUAAAAAGAAACCUUACCUUUCCAGGAGCCGGUGGUAGCGGUCCGACGAUGUCCAUCCCCUAUUUCAUGAACAUCCACAGGGACAAAAUUGAAUGUAGUGGUUCUGUCAGUUGAUGUACUAGUGGUGCAUAGCGUUGGCACUUAUCACAUUUUUGUACGAAAUUUUUGGCAUCUUGUUCCAUACGGGGCUAGUAAUAUCCUGCCCGAACUAAUUUCAGCACCAAAGAAUCUGUACCCGAGUGAUUGCCGCAUAUCCCUUCAUGGACUUCUCUCAUGACAUAGCUAGCUUCUGAUGCUCCUAAACACCGGGCCAAUGGGCCUUGAAAGGAUUUUCUGUACAAUGGGCCUUUCUUGAACCUAUAACGUGCAGCUUUGGCACGUAACGCUCUUGAUGCUUUGGGGUCUUCGAGCAACUUUCCAUGCUCGAGAUAGUCGAUUAUUUUGUUUCUCCAGUCCCAGACCAAACUAUUCGAAUUCACCUCAUAGUAACUAUUUGUGUCCAAGAUUGAGUUCAUCAGUUGUACUAUUGUCCAUGAUUCUGAUCCCUGUAUUUAUGUCGAUGAGCCCAAAAUUGCCAAUGCAUCUGCUUUCGCGUUUUCUUCCCUCGGGAUAUGAGUAAUUGACCACUCCCAGAAUCGUUCCAAUAAAGUCUAAACUUUUACCGCGUAUUGUUUCAUACGUUCCUCUUUGGUGUCAAAAAUUCUGUAGACCUGAUUUACCACCAACUGCGAAUCAUAUUUGAUUUCGAUGACUUCGGAAUCAAGCUCCCGGGCCAAUUCGAGCCUUGCAAUCAAAGCUUUGUACUCUGCUUAAUUGUUAGUUAAAGGAAUCAUUCUGAUGGCUUGCCUUAAGGUUUCUCCCAAAGGCGUGAUCAAGACUAUUCCGAGCCCAGACCCUUUUAUGUUUGAGUCUUCAUCCGUAAAUAAGGUCCAAACUCUCGAUGUUGUAUCUGACACCAUUAUUGCCUCCUUGGCUGCUAGAGGCAAUAGUCCCGGAAUGAAAUUGUCCACGAAGUCAGCUAAGACUUGUGACUUAAUUGCAGUACUCGGUUUAUACUCUAGAUCGAACUCGCUCAUUUCGACGGCCCAUUUGGCCAAUCUACCCAAGAGCUCGGGUUUAUAGAGGAUAUUUCUUAAAGGGAAAGUAGUCACCACACCUAUCGGGUAGCAUUAGAAGUAGGACCUCAACUUUCGAACGGCGACUACGAGAGCUAAGGCCAACUUUUCCAGAUGUGAGUACAGAGUUUCUGCUCCCGUUAAAAUUUUGCUUACGUAAUAAAUGGGAGAUUGCAUUCUUUCAUACUCUCGGACUAAAAUUGUACUUAUCGCAACUUCUGAGACCGCGAGGUAGACUAGCAAUGUUUUACCUUCUUUUGGUUUUGAGAGCAACGGGGGGCUUCACUAAUAUUUCUUCAACUCCUUCAAGGCUUGUUGACACUCCUAUGUCCAUUCGAAAUUGUUUUUCUUUUUGAGUAGUGCGAAGAAGCGAUGACAUUUUUUCGAUGAUCGGGAAAUGAACCUGCUCAAACCUACCAAUCUCCCUGUGAGCCUCUGGACUUCUUUUACGUUAGACAAUUUAUCCGGGAUGUCCUCUAUGUCCUUGAUUUUGUCGGGAUUUACCUCAAUUCCCCCUUGUGAGACUAGGAAUCCUAGGAACUUACCCGAACUAACCCCGAACGCACAUUUCUCGGGGUUAAGUUUCAUAUUAUGCUCCCUCAGGAUGUCGAAUGUUUCUUGCAAAUACUUCAGGUGGUCACCUGCAUUCAAAGACAUAAGGAGCAUAUCAUCUAUAUAUACUCCAUAGUCUUUCCUAUUUGUUUUUCAAACAUCUUACUCACGAGUCGUUGAUAAGUGGCUCCAACAUUUUUUUAACCCGAAAGGCAUCACAUUGUAACAAUACGUACUAAAAUUCGUUAUAAACGAAGUCUUUUCCUGGUCUUCUAGGUUCAUCUUGAUAUGAUUGUACCCAGAAAAUGCAUCGAGGAAACUCAUUAACUCGUGCCCGCCGUGGCAUCAAUCAUUUAAUCGAUAUUUGGCAAUGGGAACAAGUCUUUUGGGCACGCCAUAUUAAGAUCCUUAUAAUCUAUGCACAUGCGAAAUUUAUUAUUUUUCUUAGGAAAUGCUACUACAUUGGACAAGAGUGGGUUGCUCUAGUGGUGAGCACCCUUCACUUCCAACCAAGAAGUUGUGAGUUCGAGUCACUCCAAGAGCAAGGUGGGGGGGUUCUUGGAGGGAGGGAGCCGAGGGUCUAUCGAAAACAGCCUCUCUACCCUAGGGUAGGGGUAAGGUCUGCAUACACACUAUCCUCCACAGACCCUGCUAGUGGGAUUAUACUGGGUUAUUGUUAUUGUUGUUGUUGUUGGCUAGCCAGACUGGAUAUCUUACCUCUCGGAUUGAAACAAUAUUAAGUAAACGGGUUACCUCUUCUUUGACGAAUUUAUUCCUUGCUUCAGCAAUAGGGCGCUUCUUUUGUCUUACCGGAGGUAUGUUGGGAUCUAAGAUUAACUUGUGUACGACUAUCUCCGUUGGGACUCCUGUCAUAUCCUCGUGUGACCAUGCAAAACAAUCGGUGUUUAUUUUAAGGAAUUCAAUAAAAGCAGACCUGAGCUCCGGGUGUAGUCCUGUUCACAAAUGGAAUUUCCUUUCUAGGAAUUCUUCGAACAAUGCAACUUUCCCUAGUUCUUCUGUCGUGGAAUUCGUCGCGUCCGUCUCUUCUGGUACUUGAAAAUACCUUGGUACUUGAUAUGGUUCCAACUCUUCUGUCCCCUGGCUAACUUCCUCUGGUUUGGGGGAAGGUACUGGUUCCAGUAAUUGCUAUGUCGCAAGUUCCUUUCCUUUUCUACUGGAGAUCGAAAUUGCAUUCAUCUCCCUUGUUGUAGGUUUAUCGCCCCUUAUCUGUUUGAUCCCCUCGGGUGUCGGAAGCUUUAACAAUUGAUGAUAUGCUGAAGGCACAACUUUCAUCUCAUGCAACCAUGGUCUUCCCAAGAUGAUAUUAUACCUCAUGUCUCCAACUACCACUUCGAAGAGAGUUGUCUUCAUUACUCCCUCAGUAUUCGUGAGCAAUAAAAUUUCUCCUCGGGUUGUCACGCUUACAAAGUUAAAUCCAGCGAGGAGUUUUGUUGCCGAGAUAAUGCUUUCGGUGAGUUUAGCUUGCUUCAGUGCUCUCCAUUGUAUGAUAUUAGCUGAACUUCCUGGAUCUACUAAGACACGUUUAAUUUUAAAAUCUAACACAUUUAAAGAAAUUACCAGUGUGCGGUAACAGCAAUCGGUAUGCAUCUUUGUCCGUAAAUGUGAUAUCAUCUUCCCGGAGCCUUUUACUAUGAGUUAUUGAUACUUUUGUCUUCUUUGUUUCCGAAAAGGUGACCCCAUUAAUCUCAUUCCCUCCGAAGAUCAUGUUGAUCAUUUGGCAUGGGGGUUCUUCUCUUGCUUUCGAGGGUUCCGCGUCACCUCUAUUCAGGCCAUAAUUAUUUUUAGCUCGGUCACUCAAGAAUUCUCUGAGAUGAAAUUCUUUAACAGUGUUGCCACUUCUUCCCGGAGGUGUCUGCAGUCCCUAGUCCGAUGGCCGUUAGUACCAUGGUAUUCACACCAUAAGUUAGGAUCCCUCUAGGUGGGAUCAGAUCUCAUAAGUCUCGGGAAUUGUGCCUCUUUGAUAUUUCUCAUGGCUGACACCAGCUCCACUACACUGACGUUGAAGUUAUACUCUGAUAACUUUGGGUAAGAAGACUCUCGCGACCCCGAGAUUUCUUUUUCUUGCAGCUAUCUAUUGUUCCGGCCACUAUCGGUCCUUCUAUUAACAGUGAACUUGUCUACUGUCUGGAAGCUCCUGCCACGACCUUCGGUCCGCUCGUAGGGCAAAAAUAGGCCCUUCGAAGUCCGUCUAUCCGUGUCGUUAUCAUCUUUUAUUUUUUCUAUGUUCUUUUCUCGUCCUAUGGUCGACGAUGAAAAGCCAACCUGAUCUUCUUCGAUUCUUAUUUUUGACUCGUACCGGUUGUGGACAUCCGCCCAAGUCAUCGCUUGAAACUCGAACAGACUUUUCUUCAACUUCCGGGAAGAGUCCGAACUUCUCGGAUUUAAACCUUUGGUGAACGCUUCAGCUGCUCAUUCAUCCGGAACUGCGGGUAGUAACAUCCUUUCCUUAUGGAACCGAGUAACGAAGUCUCAUAAUAAUUCGGAUUCUCCCUGCGUGAUCCUGAAUAUGUUGGCCUUUCAGGCUUGUACCUUUCUGGCACCAGCAUGGGCCUUGAUGAAAGAAUCCGCGACUAUCUCAAUGGAAUAUAUAGAAUGCUCGGGUAAUAAUGAAUACCACGUUAAAGCUCCCCCUGUGAGAGUCUCACCAAAUUUCUUUAGCAACACGAAUUCAAUUUCGUGAGGAGCCAAAUCAUUUCCUUUUACUGCCAUCGUGUAAGUGGUAAUAUGCUCAUGAGGAUUCUAAGUUCUGUUAUAUUUUGGAACUUCAUGCAUUUUGAACCGUUUUAGGAUCAAUUCUGGUGCCGCACUCAGCUAGUAUACUUAUUUGAAUCCGGGCCCUUCAUUACUAGUGGCGCGCCCGGGAUUUGGUCCAUGCGGGCUUUUACUUCUUUCAUGAACCGUAAAAGUUCAUUAUUGAACGGGUCGUUCUCGCUGUUGAGACCGGAUCCGCUUCCCCCAGCCCCGUCAGAAUCGACUUCACCCUUGGGAGUAUUGUUGUUGACUCUCUGCAUUGUUUCGUUUUCGGAGAGGAAUUGGAUCUCGCUUGUUUGCAUUAUUCGAAGCCCCCGACAGCGCCUGUUUUAGCUCCGUCAUAACCUUAUCCUGCCGAGUGAGAUGGCCUAGAAUAAUCGCCUAUUGCUCUUGCAAGACGCUUACCGCAUCGAAGACAUGCUCUUCAUUAACAUCAUCGGGAGUUGUUUCCCGAACAUGUCGAGGAUAUUGCAUGUCAUGUAUCGGUGUAGCGUCAUUCCCCUCGUUGUGGUCGUCACAGAUUGAAUCCUAGAAAUGAGGUUGAUCCCCUCGAAAUCCAGGAUUGUGAGUGUUGUUAACAGUAUUGUCUGUCAUUUUUUUGUGAUUUUUUCUAAGACAAAACAAUCAAAGCUUGUUAGUAAAAAAAGUAAGGAUCAAUUUAAUUGCACGACUGUCUAGGCUCCACGGUGGACGCCAAACUGUUUACCCGUAAAAUGGUACAGUUGAAUUUGUUCGUGAUUUUUAGACAAGUGAAUUAAUUUGAUCCAAAAAAUAACGAAAUAACUGAUGAAAUAUAAAAUACUUAGCCUUAAAAUGUAGAUGAAACGACAGAGCUGAUGAGUCCGGGAACAGGGUUUCUGAGCACAAUAAUGAUGAGAUUAGAAGCAAGAAAGUAAAUAAUAUUAAGCUCUGUAUAGAGUGUAGUAUAAGUUUGCUAGAAAAUUUAUGUCAUUUAUAAUGAUAACUGAACUCCCUAUUUAUAGCUAUGUCUAGGGAAGGAGGUUCUAGAAUUAUGCCCUUCUUUAAUGUCAAUUAUGAGGGUCAUUAAUGAAGAUGUAACGGUAGAUAUAAAUGCCAAAUUCCCUUUAACGGGCCAUCAUCCUUAAUGCUGUAAAAUAUUCUGUAUUAAAUGUUACCGGGUGUAAAACAUUUAACACUCCAUUUUAUGAUCGUUAUUCCUUCCGGUGAAAAGCGAAAUAGCUAUGUUCGGUGGCUAUCUCCAUCUUGGGUUCCACGUGUCCUUCAUUUAAGUUGCCAUGUGUCAUGUCGUAUUUUUCCCUAUAUAGAUAGUCCCCUUGCUUUCCGAUGACACAAUCUUGUGUUACCGGGAAGUUGGUAGAAAUACUACUUUUGGCGGGAAUUACUAUAACUCCCUCUACAGUUUUUUGACAGUUGAUUAGAUAAGGAUCGGAUAAGUUACAAAACCGGAUGGCCUUUUGAUUCUCGGUACGUUGCCCCCAGCUCGAGUUAUCCGUUCGGGUAAGAUAGAUCUAGAACUUUAAACCUUUAAGGUUUAAACUUAGAAGAACAUAGCCUCAUGUAGGAUCCCUAGUAGGUACGCUUGUUUGCAUCACGUACAUUAGACUUUUGGGACUCAACACAUGGGUUGAGUCGUCUAGGACAUGUGUACCCGAAAUUAAAAAGACCAUCCUGAUGCAUCUUACGUGCUACUUUUGUAUUUGUUUGAAUUGGUUUGCAUGUUGACUCGCUUCUAGAAUAGGGAAAUAAAAUCAAGAAAAACCGAGAUAUAGAAGGUAGGAGAGAGAAAAUUGAUCGGUUCUAGAACAUCUCGGUAUUUGAAAAAAAAAGAUCCUAGAACUCUAACUAAUUUUAGAAGGAGUUCACAAAUGAGUCCGAAUUUUCAAAAAAUGACAUUUUCCCUCGGUCCUGAAAAACUCGCCGUACUACGCGUGUCUGAUUUUCACCGGAUGUGAGAUACGUAGGCAAACCUUAUCGGUUCCGGCCCCCAAUUUUCAAAAAUCUAGAAAUAUUUUCCUUUAAUUCCUUCUUUAGAAGUCUUUCCUUAGAAAAUCUCAAAUAAAAAAAAUUAACCCAAAAAUAUUUUCUUUCUUUUACAAGUCUUUCAUUCGAAAAGGAAAUAAUAAAUAAAUAAAUCAAUCAAAUCAAGAUUCAUAAAUAUGUUUUUUUUCCUUCUUUAGAAGUUUUUCUCCCAAAAACAAAUCAAAAAUCAAAACCAAAAAUUCAAAAAUAUUUUCUUUGUUCUUUGGAAGUAUUUCUUUCGAAAAUUUCCAAUCAGAAAAAAAAAAUCAAAAUCCAAAAAUAUUUUUCUUGUUAGGAACUUUUACGAUUAGAUUUUUUAAAGAGUUAAAAAAAAGGACGUUAAUUUAUUUACUUUAGACAUGAGACAGAAUUCUAAUUUUCAAUUCAAAACAACGACAGAACCUACGAACAUGAUAUGUGAUACAUAAUAAAAACAAAUUAAAUUAACAUCUGCUUACUGACUUGCGGUAGGUGAACUUAACAUAAACUAGUUUAUCAUUCCAGUUUGGAGAGUUUAAUAUUUAGACGAAAAGAUUGAAAACUGAUCAUUUUUUUCAAUGUCUAUCUCUUAGCUCUAUAUCUUGGAUUACUAAGCUACUGCUAUGAGAUGAAUAGGUGAGUUCAAAUUUAUAGUGAAUCGUAGGAUAGAUUUUGCUUUUCCUAUUUGCUGUAUUGUUGGAUGAAACAGCUUCAUAGAUUUGCUUUUAUAAAUUCAUGAAAAUCCCAGCGGUGUUGGUAUAUUACACAUUAAUUAAAGUGGCCUUCCGAUACAAGAAACUUUUGCAUACUCUCACGGCCUUAAAAAUUAAGUAUUUUUUGCUUUUCUGGAGUCAACAAUUAUUAAAUUUUAGCCAUGAAUCUUCUUAAUAAACUUUUUGAAAUGAAUGAAUUUCAGUUUGGAGUAUUUCUCUUGUAGUGUCUAGUUCAGUGUACUCAUUUUUUCCCCAAUUUGUUUGACACUUUUUUUUUGUAUAUCACGAAAAUUGACAAAUUUUUGUACUUAGAGAUUAUUUAAUCUUCCACAUUCAUUUUGUCCUAAUACGAAUCGACAUGAUUUUUCAUGAUCGAAAUGAAUAAAAAUACAACUACAAUUUGGUACUAAGGGUGCUUUUGACAUUUUAUGCAUAUUUUAAUUUUUUAAAGAUAACGUGUCCAUUCGAAUUUCCAAACAAAUGGAUGUGAGACAAAGAGAUUAAUAAACCAUUGUCAAAUCGAUUUAAUUUGUAUACAAUAACAUUUUAGAAAAAUUUGCACUAUCAAUAUAUCUUUACUUGUCACAUUAAAUAACCUAUCUUAAUUUUCAAAUUAUUAAUUUCAAUUUUAUGUGUCACACCUCCUUUUUCCCGAAGGGGAUAGAGAGUUUUUCCAAUUGAAUUGACAUUAAUCGAAAUGAAAUUAUUUAUUCAGAGUCGUCACUUGGGAUAAUUUAUGGUGUCCUAAGUCACCGGUUUAUUUCAAAUCCCAAAUCGAGGAAAUUUGACUAUGUUUUAAAGUCUGCAAAAACCAGAAGACCGGGUAAGGAAUUCUGUUAACCCGGAAGAAGGUGUUAGGCAUUCCCGAGUUCCGUGAUUUUAGCACGGUCGCUCAACUAUUAAUAAUUGGCUUAAUAAUCUGAUUUAUUACAUGUUUUAGAACCUAUUAUGCAUUUUUACCUUUUAAAACCGCUUUUAAUUAUUUAUGAAAUUAUUUGAACAAGUCGCGAUGUCGCGCACUCGUUUGUUUUUGUACACAUUGCGAAUCGCGCCACGUAAAACACAUCCAUAAUUUAUAACAUGUUAAUUUUUAUUAUUCGAAGUUAUGGUCGAGCACAUGAAAUGCACACCCAAAUUUGGAUUUAUGUAUCAUGACCAUGCCACAGGAACUGUACUCAUAGUCACGAUGAUUUAUUAUUAAUCACGCCUAAAGCAAGCUACGAUAUUUAUGAAUAUUAACGGCCAAGCAUGCUCCUAACGGUCAAAACAAUUGAAUAAUGCAAUAAAGGUUACAGUUUCAAUAUUUCAUUUCAAUUUAGCCCAACGUCCCUACGCCCGACAUGAAAGCUCAUUUAAAUAUAAGUCCAACAAAGCACUCAAGAAAAACAAAUAGCAUCCAAACAAAUAACACAUCGUGCAGCAAAUUGCUCCUGCGAUAACAUAAGGUUAUUUAAAACACGAUUCUAGCCCACUAAUAUACCAAACCAAUCUAUAGAAAAUUUCAGAGAAUUCAAGCCUAACAUAUCCAAACUCACUUUGUUACUUAAACAAAAUUAAUCCAAAUCUUACUUCCAAUUUUAAGACUUAUACUUAUCAAAUGUAGAACUAGAUUGAACAAACUAAAAUUCCCUUCAUCUUUGUUAUCAAAUGUCACUGCCCAGAGAGAAUGCUAAGCACAAAAGGAACGAGAAUCUGACAACAAAUUAAGCUCAAAUUCAUUUUAGACAUAGACCAACACAGAGGAACAUGAAUCAGAUAACCAAUCAAACUUUAAUUCAUUUGAAAUAAAGAGUGAGACAGAAGAAAUGAACCUUGAUUGAAAAAUAAAAUCGGCAAACAAGAACUGCACCCGAACCUCGAGCGGAACCUCAGACUCUAACCUCGAACAGAUUUUGGAAUUUUUGUUUUAGGCGAUGAGCGAUGAAGCUGUGUGCUGAGACCCGUUUCCUUUUGCUCUCCCCGUUGCUUUGUCCGUUCCCUCAACUCCCUCUGUUUCGUGACCUCCUCUCUUUAUGGGUGGUGUCUUCCGGUGUUAAUGGCUGAUUUACGGUGGCUUUAGGGGGUUGAAUGGGCUAUUUUUGGGGCUGGACUUUGGUGGAGGUUUGUGUUGAUUACGGUGGAGAAGAUAGGUUCUUGAAUUUUUCCGUUCCUUUUCCUUUUGUUCCCCUGUUUUUCUCUGUUUUUGUUCUGUUUGCCGUCGUGAGUGGAGUUGAAGGGUAGUGUUGAAGUUGGUGGUAAUGGGUGUUUAAUAGAGAUUAAAGUAGAGUGGGAAAUUAGGUGGCGUCCAUGGAGUUGAACUGUGGCAUCUCUCUCUUUUUUCUAAUCCCGUUCCCAAACCCUCUGCUUUUCUCUCGUCCUCUAGGCCUCUCUUUUCUCUCUUUGCUCUAUCUGUUUUUUCUCCUUUUUUGUUUUUCCCAGCCCCCUUUGUGUGUGGAAGAUCUAUAGGAACGGGGAUUAAUUGGUUGCCAAGAAAAAAGAGCGUGUAUGUGUAUGUAAUUUCGAAGGAGAAUGUGAGUUUGUUACAAAAGAUAAGCAGGAAUCUUGCC
rnacentral:lncRNA from 1 species